UGUUAUUGCAUCGAUUGUACCGAUCUGGGUCGUGCUUAUUUCUUUUUAAUUUUUAAUUUAUUUGUGUUUUCAAAUUUCAUUGAAUGAGUUACCAUACGGGCACGCAGACACGGCAUCCAUAUAUAUUAUAAUUUGAGAGAAUGACAUAAUUCAACGGAAUCAUAGUUCACAUGUGUCAGUGUCGUAUUGGUGUCUGGCACUGGCCCAUGUCGGACACACCUUCCAUCAGAAGUGUUGGUGUUACUGAGGUUUCCGUCCAUGAUGAUUUGAUUUUAAAAUUUAAGCACAGCUUAAAUGGGUGGCCUUAUUGAUGAUGCAAGUGUUGGUAGAAAUAUUAAUUGGUUAGGCUUUAAAUGAUUCAAUUAUUGAUCUGUUAGUUAAUAAUCAUAAGCUUGACUGCUAGAAUAUUAAUUAUUUUGAAGAUAAUGUCCUGUUUUGUUGCAUUUUGCUCUUAUUUGGCUUUGUGUGUCAGUUUGCCAACUAAAGGUUUGUACUUUAGCAUUUCAGCCCAUAAUUACUUUUUGAAUAAUAUAUGUAUAGGCAUGCUUCUGUUGUUGGCUUGUUGCCCUGGUGGGACAUUUGAUCAGAGCAACUUGUUCAGCUAUCUUAUUUAGAUAUACCUUUUUUUGUCUUCAUUUAUUGUGAUUUAUGAUAAUCUCUUAUGCAUCUUUUCACUGUAUAAUUGAAAUUAAUCAUCAAUUAAACGAUACAUAAACGGUUUCUUUCUGGUUUCCUAUCCGGUGUUGGGGCCACUAUCCAAAGUCAUUAGAAUGAAACAUUUGUAUUUUUCAACCUUUGCUAGGGCUGGAAUUGGAUUAAUUGUGGCAUUUGAGUUGUAAUUGGUCCAACUUGCAAAUCCAAACCAACUUGCUGAUCAUUAUGCCUCCAAACAUCCGAAGGAGAAACCUCCUGCAGAGUCAAGCUAGUGAUCCUUGGAGCAAAUAGUACAAAAGUUCCCAAAGAAAAUUUGCUCAGUGUCUCUAUGUUUCUGCUUCCAAGCCAGAUUGCACCAUGUUUAGUAUUUUUUUUUCAAAUGUGCAUUACUGUAAGAUGCUUCUGUCAUUAUGAGAAUAUUAUCCGGUUGUAUCAGUGCGCAGGCCAACUUAAGGAAGUCUGCUACAUUACAUGAAGUAACAUCCCUUUGCACUGCCUCCUAAAAUGUGAGGCUCCUUCGUAUAAAUAACAAUAAGGAACUGCAAAAUGAAAAUAUUAUGGUUAUGCUAAAAAGGUGGAAUGUUCAUUUCUUUUGUUGUUGUAAUUCAUUAAUAGGCAUUAAGGUUGUUUAAAUCUUUUUCCCCUCA